UUUGUGUUCUUCUCUCCUAUCUUAUCUCUUUCUCUCUCUUAAAAAUUCAAUGUAGAGCUCCCCAAAUAUUGAUUUAAUACUAAAGGAAAAUAUACGAUGGAGCUCAUAUUGGAGUGAUUUUUGUUUCAUUUGAAUCAAUUUUUGAGAUUUCUUCUCAGUUCUUCUUCAACUCGAGAUAUGAGUAACCCCUUUUGAAGGUGCUGGAAAUGAAAGGUAUGAGCCUGAAGGUCCAAUAAUUGCUUUACCUCUUGAAUUUCGACGGAAUUCUUGUCGUUUGCGAAGGUAUCUUUCACUUUGUAGUAUUGCAGAUUGAUUAAUAGUGAAACUAAUAGUUAUCAACAUUCAAAUGUCCUAUCUCACUAAAAAUCAGUAAAAUGUGGUUAAUUGUGAAGUUUGCACUGUUUUUGUAGUGCUCGAGUGAAAUUAUUUAUCUUGAUUGUGAAGAGACAAUAUGCAUUUCAAAGUGUUAGUAUUAUGUAUUUGACUUGUAAAGUGUGAUAGUGAAAAAACUAAUGCUAGAUAUUAACUUAUUGGAUUGUUUGAUGUAA